AUGAAAGUCUGUCACACUUUGAUCUGCUUCUUCUUCCUCUCACUGUGGGAUGGAAACACUGGUCCCAUCAAAAAAGAAAUCCCUGUCCAUACACGAACUGAAGGAGGAAACAUUACAGUUAAAUGCUCCUUCUCUUCGUCUGGAAGCAGGAAGAUCUUCUGUAAGAGAGAAUGUGAAGGAAAAGACAUUCUCAUUGAAACAAAUGAGAGCAGAGCUCAGAGUGGCAGAUACAGCAUCGAAUAUGAAGAAGAACCUUAUGUUUCUGCAGUUCUGAAUGUGAGCAUCACAAACCUGACUAAGUCUGACUCGGGGCGGUACAGAUGUUGGUUGGACAGAAAACGGUCACCAGAUUCAACCAGGGACUUUGAGCUCAGAGUUGAAGAUGCUCCAACCACUUCAAAACCAAAGUGGAAAACCACCACCAAAGCACCUUUUACACCAUCAGUCCCAUCAGCCUCCACACCGACAACAACACAGACAACAGAGAGCUGCAGGUCCAGGUUUGCCGCUGUAUGUGAGUCUGACUCUGGUCGUCAUCAUCAUCGUAUUAUCAGCGGCUGUGCUGAUAUUCUGCAGGAAGAGGACCAGUAAACCCAAAGAACCUCCUGUGGAAACUGAGUAUGCUAAUGGGACAGAGGUGAGUUUGAGUACAUUUGGGAUAUUUCAGUGUCAUUAGUGUUUGUGACAGCAGCUGAUAUUAAUACAAACAGACCCCUGUUCUCUUCCUGCAGACCAACAGAGUGUAUGAGGAGAUCAGAGAGGAGGACAGACAGAGCAGAUCUCCUUCUGCAGAAAUAUCUACAGUUUACACUUACGCCAAAUACUCCAAACCAAAUGCAGUUGAAACCACAGAUGAGUACAGCCUUAUCACUGCAGCCGGUCCCCAGAACAAAGUGAGUAAAACUAUGGUCAGAUUUUAGGAUUUAGGCUUAAAACACAUUUAGGCUACAUCCACUAAUAUAACUUGACAUGGUAAUUUAGAUUUUUACACAUUUCAC
rnacentral:lncRNA from 15 species